rnacentral:rRNA from 1 species
UACGUAGGGUGCAAGCGUUAAUCGGAAUUACUGGGCGUAAAGCGUGCGCAGGCGGUUUUGUAAGUUUGUCGUGAAAUCCCCCGGCUUAACCUGGGAACUGCGUCUGAUACUGGAAGGCUUGAGUGCGGGAGAGGGAUGUGGAAUUCCAGGUGUAGCGGUGAAAUGCGUAGAUAUUCGCAAGAACACCAGUGGCGAAGGCGGCUCACUGGCUCGAUACUGACGCUGAGGUGCGAAAGCGUGGGGAGCAAACAGG